UACGUAGGGCGCAAGCGUUGUCCGGAAUUAUUGGGCGUAAAGAGCUCGUAGGCGGUCUGUCGCGUCCGUUGUGAAAACUCGAGGCUCAACCUCGGGCUUGCAGUGGAUACGGGCAGACUAGAGUGCGGUAGGGGAGACUGGAAUUCCUGGUGUAGCGGUGGAAUGCGCAGAUAUCAGGAGGAACACCUGGCGGCGAAAGGCGGGU
rnacentral:rRNA from 1 species